AUACGUAGGGGGCGAGCGUUGUCCGGAAUGAUUGGGCGUAAAGGGCGCGUAGGCGGCCCGUUAAGUCUGGAGUGAAAGUCCUGUUUUCAAGAUGGGAAUUGCUUUGGAUACUGAUGGGCUUGAGUGCAGGAGAGGUCAUCGGAAUUCCCGGUGUAGCGGUGAAAUGCGUAGAGAUCGGGAGGAACACCAGUGGCGAAGGCGGGUAACUGGACUGCAACUGACGCUGAGGCGCGAAAGUGUGGGGAGCAAACAGGAUUAGAUACCCUGGUAGUCCACACUGUAAACGAUGAAUGCUAGGUGUAAGAGGUAUCGACCCCUUUUGUGCCGGAGUUAACACAAUAAGCAUUCCGCCUGGGGAGUACGGCCGCAAGGUUGAAACUCAAAGGAAUUGACGGGG
rnacentral:rRNA from 1 species